CCUAGAACUAUCUUACCCAGGCAACUCUCAAACUUACAGCUAUCCUCCUGCCUCGAUCCCUAAAGUGCAGGGAUUUCACUUUGGAUGUUCACUGCCUAGAACUGUAUCCAUUUGGCAUCCUUUCUCCAAACACUGUUGACUGUGAACUUCAAAAGCAUUUAAAGCAAAUGCCGGCCCGAGAAGCUGAGAACGAGGCAGCUGCUCAGUGCACAAGCCCAGGUACUUGAGCAGUUCCAGUCUAGCACCACAAUCCCAGACAGGCCUGGAGAGCCGCUGGCCUUCUGUCCACAAUGGAAGGACUGGUUCUAAGAGCAUCAAAGGCAACAACAACAGAAGCAACGGUAAACGAACUCAGUAUCCGGAGCGGAGGCCGAGCAGCAAGAGGGAAGGAAGGUCAAGCAAGCAGAAGGUCAGAGAACUGAGGCUUUCCAGUUCAUCUAAGGAAGCACCUCAGACUGCAGCUUCAGCAGUGUCUUUUAUGGUUGUGAAGUCGUUGUGAAGUCGACUUCCUACUUCGAUGUCUUGUACCCAUCUCUUAAAGGGCCACUCCCAGCUGCAGGUCUACAGCAACCUGUCGUCACUUCAGGAAUGCCCUGCAGGCUGGAGUGGCAGCGUGCUCUCUCGAUCCACGCCACCAACGGUCUUUCAGAGCUCUUGCGUGACUGCCUCUCUACACAGGUAUGCUUCAUGGCUUCCUAGUAACAUUUCUUAUCUCACCAGUGAGCUCAUCCAGCCCACAGCCUGCUGAUAACCCAGAAGACAAUAGCUUAUAAGUAUGAGAGGAUUUCUUUCUGAUUUACAAAGGGCAAAGGUGGCAAUUUAUCUUAGUCUGGGUAAACAGUAACAGCUACCAUUCGAUGCACAUCAUUGGGCUGGAGUCAUGGGAUGGGAUCCUUUACCUGCAUGACCUCAGGUCUUAUUAUAGCCCCGAAGCUGGUCUUACCCAUCAGCAAACAGGAGGCCCAAAGAGUUCAGUAACUGCUUCAGGUCGUUGGGCUGGUAAGCGCAGCGAUCUGAACCCAAACCAAGCUCUUAGCCACAGUUCUGAGCUUCAAACUGUCCGUCUUCAGCGCCACAGCCAGUGCUGCUUUUCUCAACAGCAUUACCCAGCGUCCUUUGAGCUUCUCUUCUUCCCUCUCACGUUUGCCUAAACCGAGUGUACACUUAUUCCAAUUCUUAGAGAAGAAGUGUAUUACCCUGCAGCUAUACUGCAGUCCUCUUGCAGUCCCUAGGUUCCUCUCCAAGGCUGUACGUGACAUUUCUGCAUAAUUCACAGUUAGAGAUGACACAAAAUGCCCAUAGUCCUUAUUUUGGCAUUUACAGUUACCCAGGGACCACAAAUAAGAUGACUUAAUUCUCCAUUUCUACCACUAUAAAGGGAACAAAUUUCCUCAUUUUCCAGAAAAACAAACAAGCAAAUUGUUUCAUUUCUCACCUAUGCUUGCCUAGAAGAGGGAGAAAGCUUUUGGGCUUUGCUGGACUUGUGGGAUGUAAAUACUGUAUUACUAAGAGGCCAGGGUUACCAAGGAGAAUGGACAAUGGUUGACGGUGAUACGCAGCCAGCCAGGCUCUGACUCUGCUUAGGGAAGCAUAGUCGGGUGCCUCUUCUUCUUUUUUUUUUUUUU
rnacentral:sRNA from 1 species